CAGGUAAGUUAAGGCAAUGUAUGGGCGUGUCUAUGUAAAUGAAUUAUGACGUCACAAACGAUUUUGACGUGAAACCACGCCCAUGACGUAUGAGUUAAAACGGAUUCUUGAAAAAGAAAUUUUCCUUUGUGUUAUUUUCCAAAUACGCAAUUAAAUAUUUUUAUUUAUUUUAUUUUUAUGAAUUUUUGUCGUUAAAAUAUUUUUAAAAAUCCCCUGUAAAUAAAAACGGUAAAAGUUUCUUCGUCGUCUGAAUGGAAGUCAACGUCCCUGCAACGCUUGACAAAACCUCGUGGGGCCAUGCGAGAAGAAGAUGAAUGACGGAAUAUGUGUGCUUUUACAAGGCUAGUGGACAUGCCGUAUGCGUUGUCAAGAAAAUUGUGAUAGCUGUGAGAAUGCAGGGGAUGCGAAAUAAUAAAGAAAUCUCGUAAUAAAGUUUGAAUCUUGGCCAGUGAUUGAUCCAAGGAGGCGGAGAUAAACUUGUCUUUUGGAUGAUAUUUAGACAAGCGUCUAUACUUCUUGAAUUCAUCAACUUCAGAAAAAAAGCUGAAACUCUCAAGUACUAGCUGCGCCACAUGGGUGACUCCAUAAUCAUGGAAAUGAAGUUUGACAAUACAAAUGGUAUUUUUUUUUAAUAAAAGUUAUAUUUUAUCCAAACAAG